GUGCGCCGUACCCACGUCGCCCGUGUUGGCGUGUUUGGGAUGGGGGUUAGGUGUCGACGGUGAGGGAGGGAGGAGGAGCAGGGAGGGAGCAGACGGCGGUGGUGAGGGAUGGAGGAGCAGCGGGGACGGAGGCGGGAUCCUCGAAGCGGCGGAGGGCGCGCGAGCAUGAGAGGGAGCAGAGGAGAAGAGGCACGAAGGCGGCGUCGGAGGCGAAGGGAGGAGGGAGAGCAGCCGGAGUAGAGGAGGUGGAGGUGGUGGAGGUAGAGGGAUGGAGGCGUGGACCGAUCGUGCCAGUCUGGUACGAUUCACCUGCUCUUCCGCAGUAGAGCUCUCCGUACGGUGUGGAAGGUACUGCCGCGGGGCUAGACGGCCUAGAAGGAGGAGUAGUCAGGUUGCAUCUCCUAACCGUCUAGGCGGAGGAGAAACCACAGUAGUUGGUCUCUUCCACAAAAAAGAAGAUCCGGCUACCUAUCCCAUCCGCUUCUCCUCACCGCCUAGACGCAGGAGAAGCCGUACGUCAACACGAGAGGUAACAACACUCGAGCGGCGGACAACUCAAACGACGGCAAGAACGUGGCCACGACGACGGCACCUCCCGAACCAAAUUAGAACAGAUGCCACCCUACCCCUAAGUCUCCUAUUUAAAAUAACCGUCAUUCUUCAAUUCUCUAGUUCGCACUCUGUAGUUUACAGUUCCCUCUAAAAUCAAAAAAGCACAGACACACACGUCGAACAGAUGCCACCCUACCCCUAAGUUUCCUAUUUAAAAUAACCGUCAUACUCCAAUUCUCCAACUCGCACUCUGCAGUGUACAGUUCCCCUAAAUCAUAAAUCAGAGAAGAUUGGACACUUCUCUCUGAUGACCAAAUUUCCCUUAGGUAUGAAUUUGUUCCAAAGAAGGUUAAGUUGUUUCAGUCGAUACCUCGAAAAGCUCCGUCACCCUGUACUACGGCGUGCCUCUACCCCUACCGGUACGGGUAGGGCUACGACGGCCGGCUACAGCCACUCUCGUAGUGGCGGCUGUUACCGAGGUUGCUCGAGAGGUACUCGAGGACCCUGCUGUGGUUGAGGUUGUAGUACAAGAAGCACGGACCUUCGUUCUUCCGGUUCCACAAGUAGCUACCACUGUUGCCGUACCAGUGGUUUAAGUCGUUUUAGUUUAGGGUUAAACCGGACAGCUCGUACAGAAACCUGUACGGGCCGUACCUGCCGAUGAACGUCGGCGUCGUCCUGAAGCAGCGGACGUAUCAGAACUCUGUUCGCACAGACGCGGUGAGUGGGCACUUCGUAGCGAUUCUCCGUUUCUUCUUGUUCCUAAUCGUUCUCCGAUUCCUCCGACGUUCUGGAGCAUGGGUUGUACCUGUUCCCAACACACGACCUGCAAAACCGACGAUAUCCCCAAUAAGUCAGAGCGGUAAAGACCGACCUGCAGCUCGCGUAUGUCCUACGUUAGGUCUUACAGAACUAAUAGCAUCUUUCCCAAAUAGAAGAACCAGGAGAUCGUUAUACACAUGGUACAGCGAGGCAUGUCACCGCGACUAUUCCGUUUUAGGCCCUUCUUUCUUACUAAGUCCCGAAGCACGGUUCGUUGUAGACGUCAUGUGGUUAAUUAAGAGCUAUGUAAAGCGCAUAAGUCGAAAAAGUAAUUGAUAUGUUUCACGAGUAGAACGAAGUCUAAGUUCACUAGUCUAGAACUACUCUUCGUACCGGCUUACGUGGAGGUUGGUGAUCUAAAGACACGGUUUUCAAGCUAACUACAUUAAAAGCUACGUAGAUUCCAAAUACACUAACCGCCCCUACCUUGUUACUCUCCUCGUCACCGCUAUAAGGUUCUCAAAUUUGCCACACCAAACUCCUAUAGGUAAUGUACCUAGGGUUUUUUGAACCUGUUGUUGUAGCUGUAAUAUCUGUUCCGCAAACCCAAAGUUUGACGUCACCUCUCACGAGCCAUCCGUUAGCUACGCUGUGUACACUCCAACACUUAUAACACCUACCGUAACCAGAACAGUUUGAAUACCCUUCCUCGUGCCCGGUGUAAUGAGAAGUACGGUGGGACUCGUCGGACUCUACAACUGACAAAGUUAGGACUCUAGCUAAAGGUACAACUUCCCUCCCCCGUACGAUAACAACAACAACGAGUUCCGCGACCAGUCCUCAACUAAGGGGCCUAACUACUGGUCUUCGCUCUCGUCCUACUCAUACCGUUGUACAACAAGGAAUCGCAACCGGAAGAAGAUAUUUCAAAUGUAUGUUAAGUGGACGUACCAAUUUUUUCGAUGAUAUGAUUACAUUUACAAGACAAAGAAACUUCUAAUGAGUAAAGAGAAUGACAACAACAUAGCUUUGUUAACACAAAACCGACGAACGCGAGUAAAAUAUCCUCUAACUCUACACCCUGUUCGAUGAUGGUUUACAAACCAAGGGUAGUUUGGCAAAUAAACGGUCAUUUUAUUUCCAAGGGAAAAAUUUUGUGUACUUUCCUGUUGUGACGUAUUCCCUCAAACGGGAAACCUUUCCAAUAACAAACAACGACACUAAUUUGCAUCCUUUAAAUAUAUGG
rnacentral:rRNA from 1 species